UGAGUACGAGACGCUAAGGCGUCGAAGUAGUGGAUGUCAUACUUCCAAGAAAAGCUUGCACUGUCAUAAAUCAAAAACGCCUGUACCAUAACCGACACAGGUGGGUAGGUAGAGUAUACUAAGGGGCGCGAGAUAACUCUCUCUAAGGAACUCGGCAAAAUAACUCCGUAACUUCGGGAGAAGGAGUGCCUUAUUCGUAAGGCUGCAAUAACAAGAUCCAAGCAACUGUUUAUCAAAAACACAGGUCUCCGCUAAGUCGUAAGACGAUGUAUGGGGGCUGACGCCUGCCCAGUGCCAGAAGGUUAAAGAAGUCGGUUAGCAUUAGCGAAGCUGGUAACUGAAGCCCUGGUGAACGGCGGCCGUAACGAUAACGGUCCUAAGGUAGCGAAAUUCCUUGUCGGGUAAGUUCCGACCCGCACGAAAGGCGUAAUGAUUUGGAUACUGUCUCGGAGAGGGGCUCGGUGAAAUAGACUUGUCUGUGAAGAUGCGGACUACCUGCACCAGGACAGAAGGACCCUAUGAAGCUUUACUGUAACUUGAAAUUGAAAUUGGACUUUAUUCGCGCAGUAUAGGUGGGAGGUGUUGAUUAUAAUCUUGCGGGAUUAUUGGAGCCAUCAGUGAGAUACCACUCUUGUAAUGUUAGAUUUCUAACUUUGAAUCAUUAUCUGGUCAAAGAACAGUUUCAGGCGGGCAGUUUGACUGGGGCGGUCGCCUCCUAAAUGGUAACGGAGGCGUACAAAGGUUUCCUCUGAACGGGUAGAAAUCGUAUCUAGAGUGUAAAGGCAUAAGGAAGCUUGACUGUGAGACCUACAAGUCGAGCAGGGACGAAAGUCGGUCUUAGUGAUCUGACGGUACUGAGUGGAAAGGCCGUCACUCAACGGAUAAAAGUUACUCUAGGAUAACAGGCUGAUCUCCCCCAAGAGUUCACAUCGACGGGGAGGUUUGGCACCUCGAUGUCGGCUCAUCGCAUCCUGGGGCGGUAGUACGUCCCAAGGGUUGGGCUGUUCGCCCAUGAAAGCGGUACGCGAGCUGGGUUCAGAACGUCGUGAGACAGUUCGGUCCAUAUCCGGUGUAGGCGUUAGAAUAUUGAGAGGAGCCUUCUUUAGUACGAGAGGACCGAGAAGGACAUACCUCUGGUGUACCAGUUAUCGUGCCAACGGUAAACGCUGGGUAGCUAUGUAUGGAGUGGAUAACCGCUGAAAGCAUCUAAGUGGGAAGCCCACCUCAAGAUAAGUAUUCUCAUC
rnacentral:rRNA from 1 species